rnacentral:rRNA from 1 species
GCCUUUCGGGGUGGAUUAGUGGCGAACGGGUGAGUAACACGUGGGCAAUCUGCCCUUCACUCUGGGACAAGCCCUGGAAACGGGGUCUAAUACCGGAUAACACUCUGUCCCGCAUGGGACGGGGUUAAAAGCUCCGGCGGUGAAGGAUGAGCCCGCGGCCUAUCAGCUUGUUGGUGGGGUAAUGGCCUACCAAGGCGACGACGGGUAGCCGGCCUGAGAGGGCGACCGGCCACACUGGGACUGAGACACGGCCCAGACUCCUACGGGAGGCAGCAGUGGGGAAUAUUGCACAAUGGGCGAAAGCCUGAUGCAGCGACGCCGCGUGAGGGAUGACGGCCUUCGGGUUGUAAACCUCUUUCAGCAGGGAAGAAGCGAAAGUGACGGUACCUGCAGAAGAAGCGCCGGCUAACUACGUGCCAGCAGCCGCGGUAAUACGUAGGGCGCAAGCGUUGUCCGGAAUUAUUGGGCGUAAAGAGCUCGUAGGCGGCUUGUCACGUCGGAUGUGAAAGCCCGGGGCUUAACCCCGGGUCUGCAUUCGAUACGGGCUAGCUAGAGUGUGGUAGGGGAGAUCGGAAUUCCUGGUGUAGCGGUGAAAUGCGCAGA